CACAGGCUACAUGCCUGCACACACGAGCAAGCAUGUUGGUGUACUCACACACAAACGUAACACUGUGAAACACUGUCUGCUGCAGCGUCGAGUAAAAUCUGAUUAAAUAUUUAAUGACACCACCUUUAAAGGAAAUGCGCUGUGUAGACGUGCAGGCAGGGCUCGGUGAACUUUUCCAUCUGGGCGAAAUUGCUCUUCAAAGGCUUGUUUAUUUAAAGUCUGCGAUUUGCAUGUGGGGAGAACAAAGGAAAAGCAGACCUGCCGUCUAUGAUACUACCUACUAAUUUCCAUUCCCACACUUGUGACACCAGCACAAUCUUGAUUAGGUUGCUUUU